AUACUCAACUGCCAUUCCUGGAAUUAACUUGCUGUGUAAUCCAAAUGGGGGAACUAUCUAUUGAGUUUCUUGGUGACAUUAAGCAGGCACCCUUCAUUUGGAGGUCUUCAAGAGACAGAGCAACUGUAAGUAUAGGGUCCAUAGUCUGUUUAUAGCUGUUAGAUUUGGAAGAGGAGUUUAUUGUCUGAUUAGUUCCAAUCCCAACAUAAUAUGAGCAUUUGGGGUCCAGUCAUAUCUGACUUAUGUGCAGUUGGGACUGGUUAAAUAACUGAGUCUUUCUAGCAUCCUGGACAGUGAAGCCCUCCAUGAGGCUUCUGCAGCCUCCUGGAAGUUUAACCUCAUAGUUACCAAAGAAAUUUCUGGGGAAAUUGCGAAGUGGGUGCUUGUCACCUUGGAGUCUUAUAUUCCUGGGAUACCAUGAUGGGUCCAUUUGGAACAAUGCACAAGAUGACUUUAGGCUCAGGUUUCUUCUGAAUAGUGAAUUUGCUAUCUGAGUAUCCCCAAGUUCUACCAGCUUUGCUAUAAUGAUCUGCAGCUUCCUGGUAGGCUUCCAUAACCUUUAUGUUAGUGGUUCUCAAGCCGUGGGUCACAAUGCUUUUGAGGGUAAAAAGACUCUUUCAUAGGGGUAAUGUAAAGCCAUCAGAAAACACAGAUAUUUACAAUAUGAUCCAGAAUAGUAGCAAAAUUAUGGUUAUGAAUUAGCAACAAAAUAAUUUUGUGUUUUGAGGUCAAUACCACAUGAGGAACUGAGUAAAGAAACACUGCUUCAUAGAUGUAGGAAUGCAUUGCCCAUGACCACACGUAAGUGGUGAUGGUUCCAUUUCUAGGACUUUUCAGGAAUUAGUAUUUUCCCAGGAGGACUUAGCUUAUCACUGAACACAAUGGAACUUACCUGGCAUCUGGCAGUUCAGGAAGUUGUCAGCAAGGCAGGCAAAAUACUGAAUAGAUCCAUUAGAUUGGAACCCCUCUUCAUAUUGGUGAAAACACAGCCCAGGGGGCAGUCUCCUCCCCAGAAGCAAGUGAACCCUCCUCUAGCAUCUUCUGCAUUCAACAUUUAAAUAAAUCUAUGUGGAAGGUGGGUACAGUAUGUGCUCCUCAAUCUGGUCUUUUCUUAAUUCUCAUACCCAAGGUCCUGGCCUAAGGAUGGUGGGGCCUCUCUUGCAAGAAGGAAAAAAAGACAAAGUAGGACAAUUGUAAUUAUAGGGUCCAUAUGAGAUUUAUCUUUAGGAAGUCAGAAGACAUAAUGAAGAGUCAUCUGUCACUAUCUUCUGUAGCAUCCUUCAGCUGGCCAUGGUGGAUACACUGGAUAGCACUAAUGAUGUCUUCUGUAGGAGUGGUGAGGACCACUGGAUAUUGGCCUUUCCAUAUUGUUUAUAGGCUAUGGGUUGCCAGGUUAGAACGUGUAGGUAUUCUCACACAUGGAUGAGGGAGCAGUCUCUCAAACUAUGUGAUGAAUAGUCUUCUGAGUUUGGUGCUGGGUCUAAAAGUACUUGAGGAGGAAAUGGUUAAUAUUUUUUUUUUUUGCCUUGUGAACUUCUCAAUAUGCUGUACACCUGGCCCUUAAGAUAGUCAUAGGUAAGAGGUUGGCCCAAUUAUCAUUAGUCUCAGAGAAUUUUAGUUAGUUUCUUUUUUCAGACCUAGGGCAACUUUGAACUGGAAAACAAGGAUCAUAGUUGGACCCUAUGGAGAGGAGCAACCCAAAUAUAGGAUUUAACUCUUGGGGGAAGUUUCUUUGUGGCUAUUGAGACAGUGUCAAUUGGUUGGUGUAGGUUUGAACUAAUCUAGAGUAGUUUUCCAUGAAAACAUCCAAAACUUAUAUACAAGAACUGUGUAUUUGACUCUGUAAAUCUACAUCCCAGUGGAAUCUAGGGAUGAUUUCUUGGGCACAGAUUUCUUCCAUGUCUUUUCUUCCUUCUUUGGGGUUUGUCUGUUUACAAAUGGCACAUCUGCACAUGAAGAGGUUGAUGAGAUUGUGUGGUUGAGAAUUAUAGUAUCUGGUCCUGAGUAACUCCACAGUUUUAGUUGUUGUCAAAAGGGCAGCCUGAUGGAGUUUGACAAUCAUCUGCCCAUGGAAUAUUGAUCUCUCAUCUGGCAAAAACCACCAAUUUAUUUCAUUCGGCAUCUUUUUUACUCACUCCCCCCAUGCUUUGUAUAGAUUGGACACUUGAACAAUUCAGGUUUACGCAGGAUAAGCAAGACCUUGAGAGUCCCCAUUGGUUCUAGGGCUAUGCCUCUACAUGGCCAACUCUGCUAACCUGUUCUCUUGUGCCUCUGGGAUUCCCCUUUACCCAUGCUUUGCAAUGACAAUGGAUACUUCUCUUGGCAGUCAUAUGGCCUCUGGUAGGACCAAUGUUUCCUCUUUGCUUUUGAUUUCCUUUCCUGCAGAGGGAAUGAGUACUCUGUCAAUAUAGAGGGCCUCAUGAACAUGGGCCACGGCAAAUGCAUACAGACUGUCUGUUGUAAAAGUUGCUUUUAUCUCGAGUUGCAAUUGUUCUUGGAGGGUUACUCCUGAAUUUGAAUAUGCUCAUGCUUUUUAGUUCUUUCUGAACUCUAGAUGGCUGGUACAACUCAGCUAUUGCCUUUCAAACUCCUCUCCAAGCUAGCUGAUUCAAUCUGGAAAUCUCUCAGCUUCAGACUGAACUAUUUUGCUUGGCCUUACACUAACUUUGGCAGUUGUUAUAAUCUUCUGGUUCUGUCUUAUUCUCUGGCUUCUACUGACUCUGCUCACCUGCACGGAUCAUGAAUGAACUCAACUCCACUACACUGCACUUACCGCACUGACUACCUGUUGACAUUCCCUGCACUGCUCUUAAAUAACCUGUGAUAUUCUCAUGAGAGUUGGGCAUAUCCCAUCGCUGGCUCCUGUCAUAUAUUUCUCUAAUUCAAUACUUUGUCUAGCCCUCAAUUAGACAUCACUUUUUUUUUACUUAGGUAUUUUCUUCAUUUACAUUUCCAAUGCUAUCCCAAAAGUCCCCCAUACCCACCCACCCCCACUCCCCUACCCAACCACUUCCACUUCUUGGCCCUGGUGUUUCCCUGUACUGAGGCAUAUAAAGUUUGCAAGUCCAAUGGGCCUCUCUUUCCAAUGAUGGCUGACUAGGCCAUCUUCUGCUACAUAUGCAGCUAGAGACACGAGCUCUGGCAGUACUGGCUAGUUCAUAUUGUUGUUCCACCUAUAGGGUUGCAGACCCCUUUAGCUCCUUGGGUAUUUUCUCUAGCUCCUCCAUUGGGGGCCCUGUGAUCCAUCCAAUAACUGACUGUGAGCAUCCACUUCUGUGUUUGCUAGGCCCCAGCAUAGCCUCACAAGAUGGAUUCAAUUUUUGCUACCAUUUUGGCAAGAACCUUCUUAAGUUCUAAAAUCAUGCCUCUAAAUAGCAUUCAUUGUGCUAAGAUCUCCUGGACUACUAAAGUUGGUGUGUCUGUUACAAAAUCUGUUAACAAAUUGGUACAUGUUACAUAAAAUGCAUUAUACAUAUGAUUCCUGUAAAUAGUUAAGAUGAUAAUAUAGAUUACUGUGCAUAUAUUUUGUUAUGAUGUAGGAUUUUACAUUGUUACCCAUAAGCCUUUAUGACAGGAUGCAAAAUUUAGACUUGAUUACAUAAAAUUUUAAGACUUACCUAUGGUUAAGAAGACCACAAACGGAAGACAAGUAAAGGAAAAUUACUUUAAAAGUAUAAUACUAUUUAUAAAGUGAGCAUUCUAAACAGAUAAUCUGAAUGUUAAAGGCUUAGGCAGUUUUGACUGCAACCAAGACUAAUGACUUCAAGUCUUCACUUUUGAGCUCACCAAAAUCAAAGCUGAGCACAUGCCGACCUGACACCUUAUAGCUUGUGUGAAUGAAAAACUAGAUAAUCUCCACUGAAACGUAUCCCAUAAAAUAGAACAAAUCUCUGACUAAUAUAUGACAUGAAAAUGUCUGUCAAGUGAUAUAAGCAUGAAAAAAUAAAGGAUAACAGGUCUCCAAGGGAAAGAGAGCAGAAUAUACAAAAAUCUUGAGGAAAUAAAUAACAUUCUUGAAAGGUUUCAAAGCAUGAAUGUAAGAUAACUCAAGGAUUAAAGAGAAUAUAGCAAGGCCAUAGAAUAAAG
rnacentral:lncRNA from 1 species